CGAAGGCUAGGCCAUGCAUGCCCCGAAUAAGAAGAAGCAAUUUUCUCUGAAUCUGCGAACGGCUCCGCAAACCAGUUGUAAACUAGCGCAAGCAGCCCUUAAAGGACCCCUCGAAGGGACCUAAAUGUGGGCUAGAUGGAUAUCCCUGGUAAUUCUGGGGCUAAUACAUGCUCGUACAACCUUGAUCAUACGGCCUGCCCGGCUGCGCAUCAUGGGGGCGUGUUCCUUAGCUUCGGGGUGAAUAGGAAUUGUGUGCACGCUCUGACCGCCAUAAAACAAGGAUAGAGAAGCGGACUCCCUCUGGGGAUGCGAUGUGGACCUUACCCUGGCGGCUCUUGCUGUGUGCUUCUGACCUAUCAACUAGACUGCAGCGUAAUGGACAUGCUAUGGUAACAACGGGUACAGAGGAUUAGGGUUCGAUCCUGGAGAGUGGGCCUGAGAGAUUGCUCAUACUUCUAAGGAAGGCAGCAGGCGCGCAACGUUCCCAUUGGGCAAAGCCCGAGGGCGUUAGGGGAAAUAUGAAUGCCUGCCACUAAGGUGGGCAAUUCAAAUGGGUCUGUCCUAAACAGGCUCUCGAGUAACAAUUAGAGGACAAGUCUGGUGCCAGCACCCGCGAGAGUGACUUAUCGCGGUAAAAGCAGUGUCACUGCUAGUCAGGCAGCAUGCCUGGCGACACCAUCAAAGCGCGGGGAGGUCCUAAAGCCACCAUAACUAACUGCGAAGCUGAAAAGCACGCAGGGCUGAGCCUAAUCACCUCAGGUACAGUAAAAUCAUGGUUGGAUCGGUGUAAAAGCAAUGGAUAAUCCGCGGCCAAGCCCGUACAGCCCUGAAAAGUGGCCAGGGUGCAGCUCAGAGACUAAAUGUUGGUGGGUGCCAUGCAAAUGGUGCUUAAAAUGUAGUCCAGUCGCGCUUGCGAGAGCAAGAAGCAUGUGUUUUUCGGUAAUUCCAGCUCUAAUAGCAUACGUUAAAGUUGUUGCGGUUAAAACGCUCGUAGCCAUCAUCGCGGUCGUCAAUGCUGUAAUCCUAAUGGCUGAUCGACCUCUUAAGAGUCCUGUUAUCGCCAGGCGUCGGGUACCGUAGAUCCGGAAGGAGAUAAGGAAACGAUGACUAAGAUCGCGCGUUAACCGCCGAAAGGUGGAAACGGGUUCUAUGGCUUGAUGCGCCCAAAGGACGAUGGCCAUAUUGCCUGGGUUAACGUUCCUAUUUACCAUGAUACAACUGUAGUGCUCAAUGCAGGUCGGAAAGGACCCGUACAGCAUAGCAUGGGACAGAACUGUUUGUUAGGCCCUCCCCUAAGAGUCACACUGACAUCCAGUCUGCUAAAGGGGUGUUCGAGGGUGACCGAAUUGCCGGGCGAGUGGUGAAAUACGUUGACCCUGGCAAGUCGACCAAAGGCGAAAGCAGUCAUCAAGGGCACACCCAUUGGUCAAGAGCGAAAGUUAAGGGUUCGAAAACGAUCAGAUACCGUCGUAGUCUUAACUAUAAAUGAUACUGGCCAGAGGUGGGAUAGUGUCCAUCUCGACUCUUCCUGAAGCUGGAGAAAUUAGAGUAUAUGAGUUCUGGGGGGAGUAUGUUGCAACGGCGAAAUUAAGCC
rnacentral:rRNA from 1 species